UACGUAGGGUGCAAGCGUUGUCCGGAAUUAUUGGGCGUAAAGAGCUCGUAGGCGGUUCGUCGCGUCGGCUGUGAAAUCCCGAGGCUCAACCUCGAGACGCCGAUGGAAACCAUCUGACUAGAGUCCGGAAGAGGAGAGUGGAAUUCCUGGUGUAGCGGUGAAAUGCGCAGAUAUCAGGAAGAACACCCGUGGCUAAGGCGGCUCUCUAGUACGGUACUGACGCUGAGACGCGAAAGCGUGGGGAGCGAACAGG
rnacentral:rRNA from 1 species